UACGUAGGGUGCGAGCGUUAAUCGGAAUUACUGGGCGUAAAGCGUGCGCAGGCGGUUUUGUAAGCCAGAUGUGAAAUCCCCGGGCUUAACCUGGGAAUGGCAUUUGUGACUGCAUCGCUGGAGUGCGGCAGAGGGGGAUGGAAUUCCGCGUGUAGCAGUGAAAUGCGUAGAUAUGCGGAGGAACACCGAUGGCGAAGGCAAUCCCCUGGGCCUGCACUGACGCUCAUGCACGAAAGCGUGGGGAGCAAACCAGG
rnacentral:rRNA from 1 species